CCUACGGGGGGCAGCAGUGGGGAAUAUUCGGCAAUGGGCGCAAGCCUGACCCAGCAACGCCGCGUGAACGAAGAAGGCUUUCGGGUUGUAAACUUCUUUUCUCAGGGACGAAGCAAGUGACGGUAACUGAGGAGUAGGCCACGGCUAACUACGUGCCAGCAGCCGCGGUAAUACGUAGGUGGCAAGCGUUAUCCGGAUUUACUGGGUGGAAAGGGCGUGGAGGGGGGACUGCAAGUCAGAUGUGUAAACCACGGGCUCAACCUGUGGCCUGCAUUUGAAACUGUAGUUCUUGAGUAAUGGAGAGGCAGACGGAAUUCCAAGUGAAGCGGUGAAAUGCGUAGAUAUUAGGAAGAACACCAGUGGCGAAGGCGGUCUGCUGGA
rnacentral:rRNA from 1 species